UCUGUUUGAAGUUAUAAUCAGUCUGGCCUGCUCGCUGAUAAAAUUAUUGAAGAGCCGCGGUAUUUUGACCGUGCAAAGGUAGCAUAAUCAUUAGGGGUUUAAUUGGAACCUGGUAUGAAGGGUUGAACAAAGGAAAAGCUGUCUUUAUAGUAAAAGUUGAAAUUUACUUUUAAGUGAAAAGGCUUAAAUAUGUCAAAGGGACGAUAAGACCCUAUAAAGCUUUAUAAGUUAUUUAAAUUUAAUUGAUUUAAAAAAUAAAAGUUAAAUUUAAUUAUUUUAUUUUGUUGGGGUGAUGUGAGUAUAAUUAUAAUUAACUGCUUAAAAAAAAUACUUUUAUAAGAGAUUUAAAUUAAUAUGAUCCUUUUUAGAGAUUUAAAACUAAGUUACUUUAGGGAUAACAGCGUUAUUUCUUUUGAGAGCCCAUAUCGAAAAAGAAGAUUGCGACCUCGAUGUUGAAUUAAAAUGUCUAUAUAAUGCAGCCAUUAUAAGAGAAGGUCUGUUCGACCUUUAAAUUUUUACA
rnacentral:rRNA from 1 species